UACAAUAUCUUUUUAUCGGUUUUAACAUCGGAACAUUAACUUGCACUGAACAAUCUCUUGGAAAUGUUUCCCUCAUUGUAGAAUCGUCACCAGAAUAUGAUCCUAAAAGAUCUGACUCAUCCAGGAAAAGGAACGCUCCUUCGAGCUUUAAAACCCCAACUGCUGCUCCGAACUAUAAUACUCCAACCGCAGCUUCAGAAAAAUUCAACACAAGAUCAAAUGUUAUUCGAGGAGGAAAAGGAUCUUUGAAAGAUUCUAAAGACAUUGGGUAUAAAUCAUCAGGGAAAGGUGGUGGUAAACUUGGAAACUCCUUUUCCAAAUCUGACAAACGCGUGAAGCCUCAAUUAGCUCGUGCUGUGGAGGUCACAAAUAGUGAUGAUGAUUAUGAUUCUUCGCCAGAAAGAAAUGUCACUGAGCUUCCUGAGAAGGUCCCAUCCUCUCUUUUUUUUCCUCCUAUCGGCACUUUCUCCGGUAUAUAGGAUUGAGAACAUAACCUUCUCUACAUCUUCUCUCAGAUUUCUGAAUUACCCAAGCCUCAGUCUGGCUCGCGUACCCUCAGUCAAUUAGAACAAGAGAAUAAUGAGUUAAGAGACAGGUUUGUUACCAUCUUACGUACCAUGUUAAUUUGCCUAUAAGAUUCGUGUUUCUUGUUUGUGUGAACACUGAAAGCUGUGCUUUUUGUUUCUCAGGCUCAAUAAAAAAGAAGAAGUCUUCCUGUUACUGCAAAAGGACCUGCGACGUGAGAAAGAGCUUCGCAAGACACUUGAAGCUGAGGUAACUUCUACUUUCGGACAUUUACUGUGUCUGCCUGAAAACCUGUAACAUCACUCACCUAUGGAUCCUCCUGUCAUUGCAGGUUCAAACAUUAAAGUACAAGUUAGAAGAAAUGGAUAAAGAGCAAGCGAGUUUAAUCGAUGUUUUCGCAGAGGAUAGAGACAGACGUGACAAGGAGGAAGAAAAUCUCAGAAUUAAGCUAGAGGUUCUCAUCCGUUCAAACCUCAUUUCUCUAAAUAGUCUCUUAGAUUCAAGAAAUAGAAUGACUUGACUCUGUGAUUGCAGGAGGCGUCAAACACAAUCCAAAAGUUGCUGGAUGGAAAAGCUCGAGGCAGAUAAGUCGUUCAUCGCAGACGUUAGAGGUGCAUUGAUGAUAGUAUUGAGAGGCAUCUUACAUAAUUGACUGAUUAGGUUGAUUGCUUUAACAUCAACGUUUUGUAGUGGUGUGUGGUCUCGGACCUGACCACAACAGAGUUAGUAGAGAAGUAGGAUAUUGUUGUAAAGUGAGGUUAUUGGUUUAAUGUUUGAAACAUUUGAAUUUGGUUCGGCAUUUCAAACCUCCCCGUACGCAACCUCUCCCAAAUCUACAAAUAUCGGUUUUUGUAGUCAGCAUGAUUAGACUCACCAAAUUAACUUAC
rnacentral:lncRNA from 1 species